UGCUCUGGUGGCGAGUGGCGAACGGGUGAGUAAUAUAUCGGAACGUACCCUAGAGUGGGGGAUAACGUAGCGAAAGUUACGCUAAUACCGCAUACGAUCUAAGGAUGAAAGUGGGGGAUCGCAAGACCUCAUGCUCGUGGAGCGGCCGAUAUCUGAUUAGCUAGUUGGUAGGGUAAAAGCCUACCAAGGCAUCGAUCAGUAGCUGGUCUGAGAGGACGACCAGCCACACUGGAACUGAGACACGGUCCAGACUCCUACGGGAGGCAGCAGUGGGGAAUUUUGGACAAUGGGCGAAAGCCUGAUCCAGCAAUGCCGCGUGAGUGAAGAAGGCCUUCGGGUUGUAAAGCUCUUUUGUCAGGGAAGAAACGGUGAAGGCUAAUAUCCUUUGCUAAUGACGGUACCUGAAGAAUAAGCACCGGCUAACUACGUGCCAGCAGCCGCGGUAAUACGUAGGGUGCAAGCGUUAAUCGGAAUUACUGGGCGUAAAGCGUGCGCAGGCGGUUUUGUAAGUCUGAUGUGAAAUCCCCGGGCUCAACCUGGGAAUUGCAUUGGAGACUGCAAGGCUAGAAUCUGGCAGAGGGGGGUAGAAUUCCACGUGUAGCA
rnacentral:rRNA from 1 species